CGUGAGAUGUUGGGUUAAGUCCCGCAACGAGCGCAACCCCUAUCAACAGUUGCCAUCAUUAAGUUGGGAACUCUGUGAGACUGCCGUUGAUAAAAGCGGAGGAAGGUGGGGAUGAUGUCAAGUCAUCAUGGCCUUUAUGUUCAGGGCUACACACGUGCUACAAUGGACGGUACAAAACGUCGCGAUCCUGCAAGGGGGAGCUAAUCGCAAAAACCGUUCUCAGUUCGGAUUGAAGUCUGCAACUCGACUUCA
rnacentral:rRNA from 1 species